UGGAAAGGAUGAAAAGAUUGUCUGAAUCCUCUGUUGAUAACUUAUUUUUCUAGAUAGUCAAGUACUGAUCCAG